UACUAAUCCAUGACAGUGUGAAUAAAAAAUGAACUGCUACUUGGCUUCUGGUGAGCAAGUUCGUACUCAAUUAUAACUUCGGCAGAUCCUGAUGAUGUUGUGACUUCCAUUUCCUUUUUUUAAAAAGGAGAUACUUUGCCACUCAAAACAAACGGCCCACACUCUAACAGAUAUUUCAAGACUGGAUUCUUGAAUACAGUGAAUGACUUUGCUGUUUUAAAGAUGACUGUAAUGAUAGCGCAGAAUCUAAACCUCGACUGUGCACAAUUCAAGAUCAAAGUCACCAGUGAAAUAGUCCUGGACCAACUGACUGAUUGUGAGCAAGGAUCACCUUCUUCGACACCACCUCCCAAACUCAUGACCUCCACUACCUAAAAGGACAAGCCUAGCUGGCGCUUAGGAAC